rnacentral:rRNA from 1 species
GUGCCAGCCGCCGCGGUAAUUCCAGCUCCGGGAGUUUACGGGAUUAUUGCUGAGAUAAAACGUCUGUAGUCGGAACCAACGGCGGAGCGUGCGGUCGGACCCGCCGGGCGAGAUGGCCGCUCCGCCACGACCGUUCGUUCGCCUCGGCGUGCGUCGGUCCACGUCCGUGACCCAAACCAGGUGAUCAAGGCGAGCUCGUGCUCGAUGGUUUUGCAUGGAAUCGUAGAACGAAACCUGCCCUCGGCGUUCCAAGAGCGCAGGUGAUGAUCAACGCGAGCGGUCGGAGACGAGUGAACUGCAGGGCGAGGGGUAAAAUCUGAUGAUCCUUGCAAGACAGCCGAAAGCGAAGGCACUCGUCUAGAGCGUUUCCGUCGAUAAAGGACGGAAGCCACCGUAGUCAACAGGAUUAGAUACCCCGGUAGCGGUGUGCCCCAAACUAUGCCGACCGGCCCGACGCCGCGUUUACACCUGUGACCGGUGUUGGGUCCGAGGAAGCUGGAGUGAUUUGGCUUCUGGGAGAUUACGGCUGCAAAGCUGAAACUUAAAGGAAUUGACGGAAGGGCACCAUCAGGUCUGGAUUAUGCGGCUCAAUUGGAUUCAACGCCCGACACCCCACCAGGACAGGAGCGCCCGAUGAAGCACCGGCUGAAUACCUCUGCCGAUGGGCGUGCGGGUGGUGCAUGGCCGCCGUAGUUCGUGAGGCGACUUGUCUGGUUAAUUCCGACAACGAACGUAACCGCACUGCCCGAACCAUGGUGCGCGCCGUCGCGGUGCGUCGCCAAACUCGGGCAGACAAAUCCGCAACGAGUCUCGUCUCGGAGCGGAAGGAAGCUACGGCGAUGGCAGGUCUGUGAUGCCCCUAGACGCCCGGAUCGCACGCGUAAUACAAUGCCGGCCCAAGCGCGCAGGUUCGCCCGAGAGGGUCUACAAAUCGCACGAAAAGCCGGCCCAGUCGGGAUCGAGGACUGCAACUCUCCUCGUGAACGCGGAACACCUCGUAGUGGCGCGUCAUUAACGCGCCACGAAUGAGUCCCUGUCCUUUGUACACACCGCCCGUCGCUACAGCCAAUUACGUGUCGUCGUCAAGAGGCCGGACGGUUCGCCCUCGGGCGGAUAAUCGGAAGGUCCCUGAACGUCGGUACGAGGAGGGUGUAAAAGUCGUAACAAGGUAUUUGUAGGUGAACCUGCAGAAGGAUC